rnacentral:rRNA from 1 species
GAUGAACGCUGGCGGCGUGCCUAAUACAUGCAAGUCGAGCGAACGGACGAGAAGCUUGCUUCUCUGAUGUUAGCGGCGGACGGGUGAGUAACACGUGGAUAACCUACCUAUAAGACUGGGAUAACUUCGGGAAACCGGAGCUAAUACCGGAUAAUAUUUUGAACCGCAUGGUUCAAAAGUGAAAGACGGUCUUUCUGUCACUUAUAGAUGGAUCCGCGCUGCAUUAGCUAGUUGGUAAGGUAACGGCUUACCAAGGCAACGAUGCAUAGCCGACCUGAGAGGGUGAUCCGACACACUGGAACUGAGACACGGUACAGACUCCUACGGGAGGCAGCAGUAGGGAAUCUUCCGCAAUGGGCGAAAGCCUGACGGAGCAACGCCGCGUGAGUGAUGAAGGUCUUCGGAUCGUAAAACUCUGUUAUUAGGGAAGAACAUAUGUGUAAGUAACUGUGCACAUCUUGACGGUACCUAAUCAGAAAGCCACGGCUAACUACGUG